rnacentral:lncRNA from 1 species
CCACUUUAGAACCAAACUUCUUCGAUCUAGAACUAGCCGUUUCCUUCAAUUUCUGCAUUGUUGCCCAUUUGUUUCGAUGCUUUGAACGAUUCUCUGCGAAAUUGGGUUCUUCGCAAUCAAAUGAACCAGGAACAAAGCCAACGGAAAUAUCUUGUUGUUGAGAAUCUAACUGACUAAAUCCUAAGCUAAAGUUAGGAUGAGAAUCCAUUACCAAUUUUACACUAUAUUGAUUAAGCAAAAGCAAAUACAAACCAAGAAAAUAAAAAAUCUAACUUGUAGCAUAUGAAGAAAAACGAAAAAAUCAAACUACGAAAGUUGAAUAUACUUGCAAAAUACAGUAAUUUCAUAGAAACGAACAUGCAUUCAGAGAAUAAACGAAACAAAUCCUAAAUUGGUGAAGUUGAAAAAAAAGAAGUAAAUCAAUAAAAUCAAUUAAAGCUUCAAAACUUACAAAUUGAUAACCUCCAAGUAGAUUACUUGAAUUUUUUCGUGAAAAAAGGGUUUUCAAAUGUGGAGAAAAUAUCGGGUGUAAUGGGAGCAGAUGGAGAACAAAAUACGAAAGAAAAUAUAGUGUUUUAGAUGUAAAAGGUUUAUGAGAGAGAAAGUAACAAAAAAGGGGAUUUAUGUAAUUAGUUUGAGAUUUGUGUAAAUACUUAACUAAAUUAGUAGUUAAUAUAAUAAGGUAACUUUAAUUUGCGUAUAUACGAUAAAUUUUAGUAAAUAAUUUGGUCUUAAAUAAAUCUAGGCCCACGAUCUACUUACCGAGAGCGUAUAGAGAUUAAAUAGACUACCUCUUAAAGUUACUUUCAUAACCAAUAAGAAACUAUACAGAACAAGAUCACAAUAUGAUGAGCAGUUUUAAUUAAUUAUUAUGUACAUAUAGAGAGAAUAUACUAACCAUUAAAAUCGAGACAUGUAAACAAAAAGAGAAUGGAACAUUUCGUAAAAUAUGGUUAAAAAAUGAACAUGUCAAGACAAGAACUACUUUCUUUAAUUCCCAAUUUUAAUUAGUUAUAGACUAUCGCUAUUUUCUAAGCAUUUUGGGACUAAAAGAAGUCUACUAAUCCAUGCCACUAUUAAUCAUUUAAUUACUAAUUGAUUAAUCUUUAUAGUAACUAUUAAUUUUCUAAACGUGCCAAGAAUCAACUUUUAUAAUCCAAAGUCCUUCUUCAAUGGCAAAUAAAUAAAAUUUACACCAAACUAUUCAACAUUUAUGUCAUCAUAUUAUGAAACAACAGAAUUCAUUGACAAAAUAGAGAACAAUAUGAGAUGAUAUCCAAUGCGGCUACUACUAAAUCAAAAUAAUCAGAUCAAGAACAUGAGAACGCCCAAAAAAAAACUGAUUAAGAAACAUCAUGGAAUGAUAUUAUAACGAUUACUUUAAAAUUUUGGAUAAUUAAAUAUACCAUUCAUAAUAACAUCACGUAAUAAUCAACUUUGAAUAUUAAAUAAUGCAUGAAGCCAUUAAACUAACUUUAUUUUUAUUCACAAAUAAACUUAUAAAAAUAAAUAAAAGAUUAUUGAGUAAGAAUUUGUACAACAAAUUAAAUCGAAUAUGAAAGUAAGAAUGUCAUCAUCGAAAGCUCGAAUGGAACCCGAUCUCAAACUCUAACUCUUUUCUCUUCUUUUCACUCUCUUUUUAUUUUCCUUUAUGGGAUUCUUUUUUCUUCUUUUUGUUUUCUACUCCCCUCCGUUCUUUUAUUUUUUUUUUCUUUGAUCCGUUUCUGUCUUUACUAAUCUCACUUCUCAACUCUGGUUGUUUUCCAUUUUUUUUCUUUCUCUGUGUUGUUGUCUUUUUUUUUUCAUAAAAUGUUUUUUUUUUUUU